GGAGGAUCCGAGCGUUAUCCGGAUUUAUUGGGUUUAAAGGGAGCGUAGGCGGACGCUUAAGUCAGUUGUGAAAGUUUGCGGCUCAACCGUAAAAUUGCAGUUGAUACUGGGUGUCUUGAGUACAGUAGAGGCAGGCGGAAUUCGUGGUGUAGCGGUGAAAUGCUUAGAUAUCACGAAGAACUCCGAUUGCGAAGGCAGCCUGCUGGACUGUAACUGACGCUGAUGCUCGAAAGUGUGGGUAUCAAACAGGAUUAGAUACCCUGGUAGUCCACACAGUAAACGAUGAAUACUCGCUGUUUGCGAUAUACAGUAAGCGGCCAAGCGAAAGCGUUAAGUAUUCCACCUGGGGAGUACGCCGGCAACGGUG
rnacentral:rRNA from 1 species